rnacentral:misc_RNA from 1 species
CCCAUCUAAGGGUAUCAAAGGUCUGCCACUGGCAGCCAUUACUUUGAGAUUAGGUGCUAACAUCUAACAAGGUCGGGUUUAGCAGCUAGUUACCAAGCAUGUUGCCGUAAGUGUUCCAGCUAAUUGUUGGCAAAAUCAGACCCGCAUUGUCAUUGCAUCCUUUUAUAGUUAUUUCAAUGAAAUUAUUAGAGGGAAUUUAUGAAGAAUAUUAGUAGAUUUCCCUCAUGGAGCCUUUCUGCCAGUGCCAGGGACAAUCAUGGUUGAUUGUUGAAAGUCUCCAAACUGAGAG